UACGUAGGGGCCGAGCGUUGUCCGGAGUUACUGGGCGUAAAGCGCGCGCAGGCGGCGCGGUAAGCAUGGCGUGAAAGCCCCCGGCUCAACCGGGGAGGGUCGCCGUGGACUGCCGUGCUUGAGGGCGGCAGGGGUCGGUGGAAUGCCCGGUGUAGUGGUGAAAUGCGUAGAGAUCGGGCGGAACACCCGUGGCGAAGGCGGCCGACUGGGCCGGCCCUGACGCUGAGGCGCGAAGGCGUGGGGAGCGAACGGGAUUAGAUACCCCGGUAGUCCACGCAGUAAACGAUGCAGACUAGGCGUGGGGGGACUUGACCCCCUCCGUGCCGGAGCUAACGCGGUAAGUCUGCCGCCUGGGGAGUACGGCCGCAAGGCUAAA
rnacentral:rRNA from 1 species